rnacentral:rRNA from 1 species
CGAACGCUGGCGGCGUGCCUAAUACAUGCAAGUCGAACGAGAGCGACCGGUGCUUGCACUGGUCAAUCUAGUGGCGAACGGGUGAGUAACACGUGGGUAACCUGCCCAUCAGAGGGGGAUAACAUCCGGAAACGGAUGCUAAAACCGCAUAGGUCUUCGAACCGCAUGGUUUGAAGAGGAAAAGAGGCGCAAGCUUCUGCUGAUGGAUGGACCCGCGGUGCAUUAGCUAGUUGGUGAGGUAACGGCUCACCAAGGCCGUGAUGCAUAGCCGACCUGAGAGGGUGAUCGGCCACAUUGGGACUGAGACACGGCCCAAACUCCUACGGGAGGCAGCAGUAGGGAAUCUUCCGCAAAGGACGCAAGUCUGACGGAGCAACGCCGCGUGAGUGAAGAAGGUUUUCGGAUCGUAAAACUCUGUUGUUAGAGAAGAACAAGUGCUAGAGUAACUGUUAGCGCCUUGACGGUAUCUAACCAGAAAGCCACGGCUAACUACGUG